UACGUAGGGUGCGAGCGUUAAUCGGAAUUACUGGGCGUAAAGCGUGCGUAGGCGGUUUUGUAAGCCAGAUGUGAAAUCCCCGGGCUCAACCUGGGAAUGGCAUUUGGAACUGCAAGACUAGAGUAUGGCAGAGGAGACUAGAAUUUCUGGUGUAGCAGUGAAAUGCGUAGAUAUCAGAAGGAAUACCGAUGGCGAAGGCAGGUCUCUGGGUUAAUACUGACGCUCAUGCACGAAAGCGUGGGGAGCAAACAGG
rnacentral:rRNA from 1 species